UCGCGGCUGUGCGGGCGGGGAGCUGUCGCACAACCAGAACUGGACAGAGUAUUCCAGAAGAGGCCUCCCCAACAUCUUGUACAUCCCCAACAUAACGUCCCAACUCCUGUACUCCAAGGUCUGAACAAUCAAGAUCCCAGUGAUUAAUGCCAAAGCCCUGUUGCCUGGGGAGAGGGUGAUGUUUGACUUUCUUGUACAGCUGCAGUUUGUGUGGUGAAGGUGCUCCCACAAUGUGGUUGGGAUAUUAAAUUGAGGCUGGGAUCUCAAAAGCAAGAUUUUACAGUCAAUGGAGUCAUCAGGGUCUGAAUAUCAUUGGCAUUUAACCGUGGAAGG